AAGCAAUAUAUCACAUUUCUCCAGAAGUGAUUCAAUCACUCCAAUCUUGGAUGAAACCUUUGAACCACCCACAAUAGCAGCAAAUGGCCUCUUUGGAGUUGAAACUGCACCAACUAAAUAGUCCAAUUCCUUUUGUAAAAGGAAACCAGCAACAGAAGGCUUCAAAAAUUUAGUAACUCCCUCUGUAGAGGCAUGUGCUCUAUGAGCUGUACCAAAGGCAUCAUUCACAUAAAGAUCUGCCAAUGAUGCAAGUUUCUUUGCAAACUCAGGUUCAUUCUUCUCUUCCUCUUUGUAGAAUCUUACAUUCUCAAGAAGAAGAACACCGCCCUCUGGAAGUGAAUCAACCAACUUGUCAACUUCUGGACCAAUGCAAUCAUCAGCCUUUACAACCUGGAUUCCAAGUAGUUCAGAUAGCCUGGGGACAAGGGGUGCUAAGCUGUAUUUAGGAGUGACUCCCUUUGGCCUUCCCAAGUGACUGGAGAGAAUAACUUUAGCCCCAUUGGCAAUCAAGUGUUUGAUGGUAGGGAUGGCAGCUCUAAUCCUAGUGUCAUCAGUAAUGUUCUGUGAAUCAUCAAGUGGGACAUUCAAAUCAGCCCUGACGAAGACUUUCUUGCCCUUCAAAUCGGAAGAGCUAAGGUCUCCAACGCUCUUCUUGGCCAUGGAGACAACGGCCCUAACAGGGUUGGAGGAGGCCUUGACAGAUCGGAGCUUGGUCGCGACGUGGUUGGUGAAGAGAGGAUCAGCGACAGUUCCGGCGAAACCGAGGCGGCGGAGAGGAGUUUUAAGGAGGAAGCGAGCAGAGGAAUAUUAAAACGUGACAAGAAGAGGCGAAAGAGGAUUGAAGCAGCUGGAAUUGACUAUGAGUGCCCAGAAAUGGUGGGUUCAAUUCAGGCUGCACCAAAGAAGAUCAGAUUUGAUGCAGAUUAGAUCUUUCCGGCAGAACUGAGACAGCAUGAAGAUUAGUAUUUGGUAGUUUGCAUUUCAAUUCAUGGUCAUGGCAUUGGAACUGUGCUACUGAUGGGAUGCUGUGUGCUGCUUAAAUGUACUAAAUUGUCAACGAAGGUGGAAAGAUUGCUAGCACCAUACACUUUUCUGAUAGAAUUAGCAUUAUCAUAGACGACACCGAGGCUGUAAGACAUCCCAAACAUCUACUUGUAUUAGCUUUAAUUUUUGUGACUCCGACUCGAAAUGACUAGUGGAAUUCUUUGGGUGAUAUAAUGAAUUCUGUCCAGGCUCUGGCUGGUAAUGUAUCUUAAUUAAUAGUGUUUGGACUUUGAUGUGCCAGAUCUGUGGUUUCUUUUGAUCGUUAUGUAACAUUUCCUGCGGAAGGUACAGUUUAGUGAAUUACAUAAUCUUAAAUUUG
rnacentral:misc_RNA from 1 species